ACAAAAUCUGAGCGCUAAAACCAAAUCUGAAAAUUUCAAACCCUCUUGCUAGCGAUAUUCAGAGCGCUAAAAACCAAAUAUGACCGCUAAAAUCAAUUUCUCCAUUUCAUUUCUGAAAUCAGAGCGCUAAAAGUGAAAUUCUUCCCUCUCAAACUCAUUAAAACUCCCAUCGUAGGAGUCUUCAGAAGUUGUGAAUGAUUCGUCUCCCAAACCCUAACCCUUUUUUCCAUUCCCCUUCUUGUCAGAGCCUUCAACUUGCGGACACCAAGUUAAGUUUUAGGGUUUAUCAAGAGUUUCACGAAAUUCAUCUCAAUCAAAGGGUUUCACAGAUUCAUCUCAAUCAAAGAUUUCACGAUUUUUCCGGGUAUUUUAGUAGCGAAUGAAAAGAGAGUUAUAGUUGCUGUGAAAAAUUCUCACGAAAUCCUCACUCCGCGUGCUGUGUGAAGGCAAAGAAACGUGAACGCUGUUGAGUUGUUUUAAUUGUUCAAUAAACAUACAACGUCUCUGCUCAUUUCAACCUUUUCGAUAUUCGCAGCUCGUCUACCCGGUAUUUGCAAUCUGUGGCUCAACACCUUCUCAAACGAGCUUCUUUCCUGGCGGCCAGAUUUCUCUAUUAAUCUUCAAUCCCUCGGAAACUUUAUCAUACGUCCAUCAAGAUUAUAGUGAUGCAAUGGGCUGUUUUUGCAAGGCUGAGCAACAUUUCAUUUGGAGGUUAGUUUUUGCAAAGUUAAAGUUUUUUGAUACAUGUACACUAUGUUGUUAAUAUCGGCCGGCGCGGCCGCUAUAGUGGCGCGGAGCGGAAAAUUCGAAGCAGCCGCUUCAGGCUUGACCGGUCCAGCGCGUUUGGGUGUAGCGGGUGUAUCGGCCGCGAUAUCGGGUGGCGAAGCGGUGCCGGCGCGGCUGUAUCGACCGCUUCUCACAUGGAGCGGGUCGGGUAGGCCCAGAAUGGUUAAAACGUUACUUUUUUUUUUUAAUAUUAAAACCCUGGCCCAGAAUGGUUAAAACGUUACUUUUUUUUUUUUUAAUAUUAAAACCCUAAAUCUAACGUUACUUUCUGCCUCUCUCACACUCACCAAAAGACCUCUUCCUAACGGCUCUUUUGCUCUCUCACACUCACCGUCUACCUCUCCUCUUCUGCUCAUCUUCUGUCUACUUCCUCAUCUCUUCUCCAGGUACGAUUCUUUCUUUCCUCUAUUUAUUUCUUUCUUCCCUCUAUUUCUUUCUUUCUUCCCUCUAUUUUUUCUUUCUUCCGCUACUUUUCUUCCUCAUCUUUAUAUUUCUCUGUUUCCAUGGCUCUGUUCUGUUCUGGAGAAUAUAUUGGAGAGGAUGAAGAGUGUGAAGAGGAUGAAGAGGAUGAAGAGGAUGCUAGUGAGGAAGGAAGUGAUGAUGAAGACUUAGAUUUUAAUGAUUCGUGAACUUUUAUUAGAGUUUUCAUGUUUAGUUAAUUUAAGAUUUAGAUGCUUAAGUGUUUAUUUUCAUGAAUUUUAUUGCUAUUUGAAAGUUUGUUGCAAUGUUUUGCACUUUUGAUUAAGACAUACCUUUUAAUGGUAUUUGGAAUUGGAAGUAUGGUAUUAUUUAUUUGGAAUUGGAAGUAUGGUAUAAUUUAUUUGGAAGUAUUUUAUUACUUAAAGACUUAUGAAGUUUGAGUUUAUUUUUUUAGUAUGUUUAGUAGUAUGUUUUUGGCUAGUAAGUGUCUAUUUUUUAGUGUCCGCGCCACAAAAAAAGUGCCCGCGCCGAUCCCCGCAACCGCGCCAUUCCCAUUUUGGAGUUGACCGCGCCGCGCCGCUUUCCGUUAUUAACAACAUAGCAUGUACAAGAAAAUGGUCGGCUUUGAUGAGACACUUAGUACCAAGUUAACCAUAUAUCAUAAUCAAACAUGCUUAUUUUUAUUUAGCCUUUUGUCAGACCAUAAUUUUUCUUUAUUGUGGCAUGUUAGUCCUAGUUACAAAAAUAGUCAUUUAUUUACCUCUAAAAUAAAAUGAUUUGCAUAUAAAGUCAUUUUCUAAAUAAAUUAAAUUUUGUUUUCUUCAACUAUUGACAACAACUAGUAGAUAGGCUUGUUAGCUCGAAGUUUGAUACAAGUGGCUUUUUUAUUAUUGAUUAUCCCUUCAAAGUGUGAUUUGAACAUGAUAAUUAUUGAGUGAAUUUAAAUCAUAAGAUAGUUUCUUUGACUAUCUUAGAGUAACCAGCUGUUCUGAUAUUGAGGUGUAUGCUAUUGCAAAAGGAACUGUUUUUUUCCUAAGGUACCCAUGAUGAGAAUUGAAGCUCAAGUUGUAGUGAGUACUUGCUACCAACAAUAAGGCUUUGUUCAACUUCCAAUUGUACUUCACAUUCUCUUUGAUAUUUCUUUAUAAAAAAUUGAAUACCAUUUUUUUAAAGUCCAAAAGUUAUGGAUGUUUAUGUUGUUUGAAAUAUUGAGCCAGGGCUAUCAAUUCUACAAGUUGAAUUAUUGUUAUCUUCACUUUUGAAUAUAGCCACUAACUUUUCUCUUAUCUAUAGUCCAGAGUAUUUAGACUUGUUUGAUGCAAGUUCAGCCCCAAACGAAUCAAAGAUUGAACAACAAAAAUUGUUAUCAAAGCCGGUCCAGAUUGUUCAGACUUAUCAUACUAGGGAGGAGAGUGAUUUGAAGAAGCAAAUGGUCUGCCUUAACUGGUUGUUCUCUGAUAAGCCCUUGGACUUGGAAACUGAGCUAGCACUUUGUGUUUUGAAUCAUCUCCUACUAGGCUAAUAUCUCAUCAUCUAUUGAGAAAGUACAUAUAUAUUGUUUGUAACACCCCGUUAAUUCUUGUUUAUUAAUUUAAUUAUUAUUUUUAAUUAAAUUAUUAGAAUUAAUAAUUUUUGGGAAUUAUUUGGAAAAUGAUGAAAUGUUGGCAUUGGGCCUAGAGUGGUGGUUAGCAGUAGGGGGUGUUAGCUAAGCAAGCCCAUUAUAAUAUUUUAUUUUAUUUUUCAUAAAAUAAAAGGAAUUGGGAAAAGAGGAGGAGAAGAAAAGGAGACAGAGUCUGAGAAAGGAGGAACACGUGAAAGAGAGAAGAGCCAAAGGGGAAGAAGACCUUCGAAGAUUCGACUCUGAGGUAAGGGGGGAUUCUUUGGGUUAGUGAUCCUUAUGCGAUUGUAGGUAGUAUGAUUGAUUAGGAUUGUUGUCUAGUUCAAUCGUACGUGUCGGGUUUGGGAAUUUUGUUAGGUUUUGAUGAAUUUGUAUGAAUUACAUGAUUCUGUUAAUACUCAUGAUAUAUGCUGUUAAUACUUGGAUAAAACUUGUCGGAAAUGUGUGAUUAUGUGAAAAUUGAUGGUAUUUGUGUGCUAUGUUCGUAUGUACCUGAAAUUGGGGAAAUGGGAUAGGGUAAAUGCUGUCAAAAUGGUGAAUUUGGCUGUGCAGGUACGUAGGAACCGGUUCCCAUGUGGGACAACCCGGUUCCCCAUAGUAAAAAUCAGAAACGAGGUUUGGGAAGCUGCCAGGAACCGGUUCCCAUGUAGGGACAACCCGGGUUCUGCAGCAUUUUUUCUAAAAAUGUUUUAUCUUUAAAAACCCAUAACUUUUGAUCCGAGUAUCCGAUUUAUGUGCCGUUUUGGGCGUUGCGAAGCUAAUUAGAUGCUUUAUUUGAUAAAGUGAUAAAAUGGGCAGUGGCCGACUUUAUUUUUAAAACUCGAUUUAAAUUGUUGAUGAAUGGAAAUAUGGUGUAUGUAUAUGUGCUUAUAUAUAUAUGACUAUUGGUGCAUGUAUUUAUGUUGGUGAUGGGAUUAUGAUAUCCAAUGAGUGAUGUUGUUAUAUGACAUGUCGUAAAUAAUACAUGUUUGUGAUUAUACUGUUGGGUGAUUUUGGCAACUUAUUACAUUGUGUGUAAUGAUGAUAGAUGUAACGAUGCAUGAUUGUGAUGAGGAUUGCUGAUUUGUGAAUAUUAAUAUGUUGUUAAUAUUAAUAUGUUGAUUUGUGAUGAAUGUGUGUGAAUGAUUGAAUGAUGCUUGGACAUGUACAUACUUGUUGUGAUGAUGUUGGUGAGAUGAAAUGAAGCGAUGUUAAGCAUCGGAUUGGUGAUGAUAUAAGUAUGUGUCAUGUGUGCAUUAUUCAUAAAUCAUUUGCAUUGGAAGGCUAAUUCCCAUUGUGCGGAGAUUAGCGGGAAGUCAUCGUGUGCCCAUGUGGGGUGUGAGCGAUGAGGCAGUAGUCGUGUGCCCAUGUGGGGUGUGAGCGACUAGAGGGCAGUAUCAAAGAGAGAAGUCCUGUGAAUGUGAUUCACGAAUUUUGGUACCACAUGCAUAGUGUCAGUUGAAUCAUGUGCAUUGGUUAUAACAUGAUUGGAUGAAAUCCAGUGUUAUGCCUUGGUGUGUUUACAUGAUUGAUGUGUUAAGGAAUUGUUGUUAAUAUAAUUUAAUUAUUUGAUGAAAUGAAGAGUUGUGGGCCGAUGGCCAAUAUUGUUGUAUUGAUGCUUGCUUGCUGUAAUAAUUCCGAUUAUAUGUAUGGUUGAGUGGAUGAUAAUUGCUAUGACAUUUUAUUGCUUAUGACUGCAUAAUGUUUAUUAAUUCGAAUGAAACUCACCCUUACUUUAAUGAUUACAGAUUAAGGAGUAGCGGCAUCAGAAUGGGUGAGGAUAGCUCAUAGGCUAGUCCGUAGUCGUGUCGUGUCAUGCUCUGAUUGUAACACUGGGAAACGCUAGUUUAGAGACGAAUUAUCUUGUUGGUUCUGUUGUUUUAUAAUUGUAUUGUAGUGACUUGCAUAGAUGAUGAAUAUGCAAUGUCAUGAGGUUUGAUCCGCUGUGUUGAACAUGAAUUGUGUUUUAUAUUAAAUGGUUUCCUGUGUGGCAUGACAAUUGACUAAGAUAUUUUAUAUUAAAGAAAUUGUGAUACCCUUGUAUUUCAUGUUUACUCUGAAUUUUUAUUAUAUUUUCCGCGGGGGUUUAGAAGGGUGUUACAAUAGUGGUAUCAGAGCAUAGUCGGUCCUUGUGACCAGAGUCUUGUUGUUAAUUUCCUUUCGGUACGCGACAUGUGUGUGAAACACUAUUGGUACUCAGUGUGUUCUAACUGUUUGUCUGCAGAAGUGGGAUUGAAACUAGUGGGGGAGAAGCUAUGCUCCUCGGAUAUGUCUUAGAUGCAAGAUGUUAGAGUGAUGCGCAGAGCAGCAGUACAAGAGUGUGGAGUUAUUGUUUUCUGAAGUGAAGGCGACAUGGGCUGAAGAAUGUAGUCGUUAUUUCAGUUGGAGUGUCUCGGAGUAGAUGAUGGUUAUUUCUGGGAAAUGGAAUUUCGAAGCUGUGAUGCUCCAAGUGCUACGGAUGGACUGUAAUGUUGUUGUGUGAGUAGCCCUAUGUGAAAGGUCGCUGUUGAAGC